UUAAAAAAUGUAAGGAAGCUGCUCUCUGUACAGUACCCCUCACAGCUGCUCUGUCGGCAGUUGACAUCAGUGCGUGUGCAGACUGGUGCUGACACGGACAUGGAACGGUGUGGAGACAUUGCACGCGCACAACAGAACGACGACUGGCACUGACAUCGCGCAUGCGUGGAACUACACAGUCACCGGUACAUGCGCCGAAUGGCAUGGAGGUUUCACCGCAGACGUAAGCACGUGUACAGAACGAAGCGCGUGAGCCAAUCGCUGCUGGAAUGGCGCUAUUGUGAGCAGAGACGUAGCACCCAAGCAACUGAAGACUCAUGUCUGGAGUUCGGUCUCUCAAAUCUCACCUUUUUCUAAAAGGAACUGAAGAAAGAGGUAAAGGAGGAGGAACAUAGUGGAAAGAGCUGGAAUUUAAAAGGCUGAAGCCACCUUCUGUCAUGGUGAUAUGGUUCACCAUUUGGCUUCAUUUCCAGAUCUUGUGAAGACACUUCCCCACAUCAUACAAAACGCAGUGGCUAUGAGCUUGAUCAAAUUAGGCUUUGCUAGAUGAUCAACUGAAUCUGCAAGUCCCCAUGGAUUUGGCAAACGUGGCCACUAUGAGCUAAGGCAUUGAAUAGAUUGGACUUAGUACUUUUUAAAAUCAUAUUAUGAAAACAUUUGAUAUUUAACAUUUUUAGUACAUGAGUUAUAUGUUUUGUGGAGAUGGUUGGAUUUUCUUUUCAUAGGUCAAUGAAAACAAGAUACUUCUGGGAAUCCACAUAAUUGCUAGUUUUGGUUGAACUCAUUUCUGGGAACAAAACCUCUUUUGUGAUCGAAUUUUAUGGCUGUUCUGUUUGCACAGUGGGGUAAGUUUAUCAUAGAACAAGCUGUUCGGCUUGAGGCUCAUAUUUCUGAAAUACAUUUGUUGUGUUAUCAGUGUGAAACCUAAUUGUUCCUUUGGAAGAAUGUCACAAUAUUGUAUUCCCUGACCAAGCUGUGUCUACCAAGAUGUCAUGACCAUGCAUGCAAGAACACCAGAUCAAAGACUUGGGAACAUAAUAUGCCUUGUCUUUUUUCUUCCCUUCAAGAAAACCACCAUGACAAGGAAAGUGCUUUUUUUUUUCUGUAAAGUCUAUCUCUGCAAAGCGAAAUCAAUUUUUCUGAACCUUGGCUGAAAUGUCUGUGCUCUUUUAUUUUCAUAUAACAAAUUUUGUGUGAUAGCCACUUCUGCA